rnacentral:rRNA from 1 species
GAUGAACGCUGGCGGCGUGCUUAACACAUGCAAGUCGAGCGGGCAAUUUAUCUAGCACUGAUUACUUCAAAUGGAAAUCAUAAGUGUAAUCAUGAAUUUCUACCUUUAAUAAAGAAAAAAGAAAUUCAUGUACGCAAAUAGUGAUAACACAUUUUAGUGAAGUGAUGAGUGCUGGAUAAAUUGCUAGCGGCGGACGGGUGCGUAACACGUGGGUAACCUGCCCCUAUCACUGGGAUAACACACUGAAAAGUGUGCUAAUACCAGAUAAUAUAAGCUUUUGGCAUCAUUAGCUUAUCAAAGAAUUUCGGAUAGGGAUGGGCCCGCGUCUGAUUAGCUAGUUGGUGAGGUAACGGCUCACCAAGGCAACGAUCAGUAGCCGACCUGAGAGGGUGAUCGGCCACACUGGAACUGAGACACGGUCCAGACUCCUACGGAGGCAGCAGUGGG